rnacentral:tRNA from 2 species
CACCGGAUAGGCGGCGGUCUGGCGCUCGGCGAUGCCGACGCUGCCGGCGGCGAUGCGCUGGCGGGGCGUGCUCAGGCGCGGUGCGGCGA